AGGUGAUCAGAAAAGGAAAUCCAAAAAUUCACCUUCAUCUUCCAGUCUUUGGUGAAGACAGUCAUAUGGACCCAUGAAUACUGGAAUAAGGGAAAGCCAAAUCUUGCAGCUUAUAUGGCUCUCAGUUAAGUUGUUAAACAUGUAGACAAUGAGGUUUCUCAUGCUGGAGGAAGCUGAGGUUUGAACCAGUAGUUUGUCCUUAAAUGGCCUAUUCAGCAACUCUGUCAUUUUUUGUCAGCUAACUCUGUUCAGAAAUAUGCAAUAUGUAUUGCACAAUCUAGUAGCUCUAAGGGUAACAUGGCAGACACAAAGACAUUGCUCGCCAGUCAUGUACAUGGCAUGCAACUCCCUGUCUGAAGGAUGGACAGCUAGGCUUUGGCAUGUCUGAACCUUCUUUUCUGCUGCAGAGAAAACUAUGAUAUCUGGUUUAGCAGUCUUUGUUCCAGAAAUCUCUUCCAUGGGGCCAGAACAUAUAGUCAGUCUUCUUUAGAAUGGAGUUCACCAUACCCAGAUUCUCUCAGCCACCCUGAUGGGAUCUUUAAGAAUGGUCACCCUGAUGGGAUCGUUAAGAAUGGUCACCCUGAUGGGAUCGUUAAGAAUGGCCACUGAGGAGGGACAACUGCGGGAUGAGACUGCAGGCUGUCUGCAGUGAAAAAUGGAAGGAUGAACUUCCCAUAUAUUUUAUCAAGAGAACUACUGGAGCCUCAACAUGAUGAAAUAAACUAACCAAAGCACAACCUUACAACUCCAGGAUCACACAACCAUGAUGAAAAAAAAGAAAAACCCAAUCACUGCCAGCACAAACCACCAAAGAAACUAUAUCAACAGUGAUGUCCUAGUGUAAUACGAUUAGGGAGUUCCAAACUGGGCAAUAAAAUAUCUUGAAAUUCAUCUGGAUUACACUCAACCAAAUGUAUGGAAGCAAGGGGAAAUGUAUGGGUUUAGCCAUCCAGGCCCCACAUUGUUUAUAUCCUGCAAGUAUUCCCUGACUGUAAAGUCAGUUUUUUGGGGGUGAGGGUAGAGAAUUAUCUGGUUUCUACUUAUCCUGAUUUUCCACUAGUGUUCACAAUGAACUACAUAUAUUUGCUGUUAGCCUAUACUUUUCUGGCUUUCUUGGGGGGUUGUUCUCAGUGUGAUGAAUAUAAGGCUUGUCUUUAGAAAGAUCUGGAUGGUGGGGAGGAUUUCAAAAGAUCAGAUGAACUUCUGAUUUGCUGUAGGAAAUAUCCACUUGAUCUGAAUGCUAAAUGAUUAAGGACAGAAGAAAAUGAUAUUAUCUCCAAUACUGACAACGUUAACAGCAGUGCAUGAUAGCAUUAAAGUUUCUGCCUGGAAGCCAUAUGUGCCAAUGGUAGAAUCUUGGUAAAACAACCAACAAUGCACACCCCAACACCAGAAUCCACAUGGAAAACAGUGUCAUCAUAGAGGCCAGAAUAAGUAUGGCCAACAUCAACAUGACUGGCACUGGAACAUUAUCUGUGCUGGUAGUCCCAGUGUGAAGAGGUGUAUAAGCACCAGAGCCAAUGUUUGAACAAGAUUGCCCACAACCUGGUGAUGAAUGCUGGUCAAAAAAAUAUUGGAAAUUGGUAACAGAAUUAUGGGUACUGGAGAUGGCACAGUUUCCAAAACAGUCAUUCUGGUUGACUCUUGAUGGGGUGAAUGAAGGGGUUGCAUUAGAAUGUCUGCUUGUGCAUUUAACAUGACCUCAGCAAGUUUAUCAUAACUGAAAGUGGGAAAAAUGGUGAAUGAAUCAAAUUUGAGGCAGCUGGCUUGGGGUCCAAGGCAGCACUGGGGUACUAGGAAACUCAACAGCUGUAGCAUCCAUAAUUACAAUACUAAUUCAGCAGAGCUUGCAGUCUUAGCUGUCUCAUUUACUAAAAUUUUGGCAGCAUGCCAAAGUAAAUAUUUUGCCAUUGUUAACUAGGUAGGUUCACUAGACAGAUAGGUAUGAUCAUCUUUCAAGAGCGUGGGGCAGGCCAAAUGUUACACAUACAGUCGGAUGAGAGGCAAUAUAAAUACAUUGCCAGAAAGUUUGCAUUUAGUUCAUAAAGCUGCCAAUAGAUUGUAGCUUUCAUCACAAGUGCAUGGAAGCAUGCUCCUGCACAGGGUAGGCACUGUGAGCCUUGAGAGUGAAACAGAUCAUGUGUUCUUCCCCCCAGGGGUAAGCACAGGGCCAUGAAAAAUGUUCUCACAGCCAGAAUGCCAGCAAAGGGCACAAUCAACCUUUGUGGCUGCUUAAUGAUGGCUUUACCAAACAGCCCUUGCCAAUGUAGUUGUCUGGACCCUCUACCACAAUGCUAUAAACUGUCUCAAGUCCGGUAUGGGGAGGCUUGAUUCUUAGCAGGCCUGGGAGCAAAAAGGACUUAGAGUAAAAAAAACAUUGGGGACAGAAGAAUCCUCCAUUAUUACUGGUGAAGAAGAUGUACAAGCCUAGACAAAAAUAGAAUGAACUUUCUUACUUUUUAGACAGGUAAGUGAACUAUAUUCUUGGUUCUUUUGCAGCCAAGACCUGGACAGAAUGGCAAAGGUAAUAUCUUAUUACAUUUUAUUUUAUGACAUUAAGUGCUGAUCAUAUUUGAUCUUUUCUUGUUUUUUCUAUGUUGUCAGGAUCUUCUACUAUGCCAAUUAGAAUAUUACUUGUUUUAAGUUGAAGGAUAGUACCAAUGAAGGUACCAACAAAGGUACCUGUUCUGAAAUGAAUUUUGGAAGCACUAACAGUAGUGGAGACUGUUUGGGUAUUAUUUUAACUAGCUGCAUAUCCUCAUUUUGGGGAGUUACCUUAAAUACUACACUCAUCUCUGAAACACUUGAAGUUGUUUAACUAGCAGAAUUCAAGGCCCUGAAGAACUUAAAUGUGUAUGUAUCUUCAGCCCUUUUUAAGGUAGCUGCUUUCAUCUUUUCCAUUUUCUUCUGUUGUUUUCAUUUAGAAAAAUACUUUACUUGGAAUUCAGUAAAGUGCCUAGCAUGAGCCAUACAGCUUGUAUCAGAAAAGCCCUUCUCCAACAAUGUCCUCAUUUGCGAUUCAGACAUACAAUAGCCACUAAGAGUGUACACUUCGUGGCAGAGAAUUGGUUGAGUUCGAGCUCCUGUGCAGCAUGGAUUCCCAGCAGCUGCUUGACAUUUCGGUUACUUGAGUUUCCUGGAUUGCCACACCAAUGGAGGCUGAUCUUGUGAAAAGUGGAAGUGACUUUACACAGCUUGUUGGCUUACUAACACACGGCUAGUAACACACCAUUUUUGAACUUUGCAGUUCCUAAAUUGAAUAGGCAUGCUGCUCAUUGUGCCUACACAUUUGCAAGCACCUUUUCAUGGCCAGCGAUAGUGUUCUUGCAGGCACAGAAUAUAAACAAAACAUCCUGUCUCUAGGCAAACCUAAUAUAUGAAUAUGCACUGUAGUCAGAAAUAUUAAGGGCAAGUACAAUGAAAGAAUUCUGAACGAGGGGAAGUGAAAUGGGGGAAUUGUACACAAAUACUAUUGGUUGUACUGCAUAAGUAAUUAAGAGUGGAGGAGAAAUGGAUAGUGUACUCAUGUACUGCAGGCGGGUCUGUAUUAGUUCAUUGAAGGUUCACUUCAGUGAGCCUCUGUUCAUCGAACAAAAAUCAUCAAACAUUCACUUCAACAAAUGUUCACUUUACUGAAUGUGUUACACAGGGAAAGUAACUACUUGCCCAGCAUUUCCCUGUAACACACACCAGAAUAUUUUAAAUCCACCAAAGUGAGGGUAGUGUCCCCCACACCCCCUAACUAUAUAAACCAACUCUGAGAUCGCACUACAGUGGGGAAAAGGGAAAAUGUUCCUUGUGUUGGCCAACUAGUUCCUUUCCCUGUGUAAAUCCUUCACUGAUCUGAAUGUUCAAUGUAUUUUGUUCAAUGAAAGGAGGUUUGCUGAAGUGAACCUUUGAUGAACUAAUAUAGACCUACGGCAGGCAAAUGUGCUGAAGUGUCAAAGAAAAAUUUUUAACGUACAUUCUGCCAUAGUAUUGUAAAGAUAAUUAAACUCAAUGACAAUACAUGACUUACACACAUAACUGAAAAUGGUCAUGCUCACAAAGGAUGUGAGAGGGAUAUAAAGCUGCAAUGUAACAAAGGGGAGUUAAUGUGAUAUAUGUGUUAAUAAAAUGCUGGGUUGAGAUAAUAGCAAAGACAGAACAAACAUUAUAGGAUGAAUGUAUAGACUGCCGUUAUUGCAUAUGAGAUGUAUAUACAGGGAAUAUAUGUAUGCAAAUCAGCAUCACUGCUGUAUUCCCCACCUCAGCAUGUAUACACAAGAGCAAAUGAACCUUACAGUUGACAUGCCAUGCACAUCAGAAAUAGACAUAUUUUUGCAAAUAAAUGUCAGUGGCACCAAUAGGAAAGGGAUUUAUUACCUAUAAACAUGCAAUAUACGCACAGGUGUUAUAUAGUUAUGUAAAUGCUAAAUGGUAAUAUAACACUUAAAACUUAACACUGAUAACUGACAAAUGACAGCACAGAUCAGAUGACAUUUCAUGAUUACAAUACAAGUUAUCCACUAGUAAUUUCAAGUAUGACAAAAAUAACUGCAGUAAUAAAGAAAUGUUUGGAUGAAGACAGGCAAUACAAAUCAUAAUUAUUUUGAAAAUAAGUAGUGCCUGUGUGCAAAGAAUGAAAUAAUAAACCUUUGCACCAUAUUAUUUUUGAACACACGCCAGGAAAAAUAUCAGAGAGAUGCAUGUCAAUCAUGUACACCACAGAAAUACAUAUAUCGGUUGUGUUAUGAAGAACACCCUUGAAGGACUUACAGCACUUUCCUAUCAUAAGGGGUACGGAUGCCCUACCUUGUUGAACAAUUGCUUGAAAAAGCUGGCCCUCUGACUCUGCCAUAACUAUUGUCUAUGUAUAAGCCCCUGCUGUCUACGAUAUUUGUCUGACAGACAGACAGAUGUUAUUAAAUUCAAACUCCUGCCUAUGAUGCAAGGCUCUUUACAGACCUCUGUAUUUAUUACAUCUGCCACAGGAGACAGCAAUAGGGGCUAUCACAAAUGACUAAAAUCAAUAUGUGCAGUGAGAAUGCAGCUACAAAUGGAGCUACACAACUUACUGUCCACACAACAGUGAGCAGUACACUAUAAAUACUUUUUUGACAAGGAAUCUGUUUACAUUGAGUAGUAGGAACACUGUCCCAGAGUUGAACCACUUUUUAGGUAUGCUAUAUAAGUCAGUUUUCAAUGCACAUGCCAUAGGAGCACUCACAGAAUGACAUGCCGUGAAGAACAUUUUCACUGCCAUACAAUCACAACCUGUGAUUAUAUAUCAUUGUUCAACAUAAAAAUUGAUACAAUUAACUAGAUAUAAUGGUAUUUGUGUAACAUCGGUACAUUUAGGUAAUGUUGCCCUUUUCAGGAAUUGAACAGCAAGCUGUGUAACUCUACCAACUAAUAAUAUGGAUGAAACACAAGUGCCACAGUGAAAAUCUUACCACAAGUGUGACAUUCCACCUAUGUUAACUUGUUAGAUCAUAUAUAUGUGUCAUAAACAAUCUCUUUGAUAUAAAAGGGAUGGGGAGGCCUCUCCCACUGUACAUGUACAAUUUAUAAGUUUGGUGUAUGUAAUUCAUGACUUACAGUAUAAGGCCACACAAUGCCAACAGUCACUCAAUGUGAAUGUUGAACACCUGAGCAUUUGACUAUAGAAAAUAUAUGAUGUAGAGAAUGAAUGCACUGCGGUAGAAGUGUCAUCAUCAUGUUAUUUCUGCAAGGGAUAUGUGUGCCUGCAAUUGCUGUACUAAGGCAACAAAAUGUUGUCUCAUUCCCUCAAACCAGAGGAUAACACUUAGUACUUAUGUAAGGAAAAUGUAAGUACGUCAUCAUUACUCUGAAUAAAAGCAUUGUUGUGUAAGAAA